GGACCGGUAGCUCAGUUGGUAGAGCAUCCGACUCUUAAUCGGAUUGUCGGGAGUUCGAACCUCCCCCGGUCUA
rnacentral:tRNA from 1 species